UACGUAGGGGGCAAGCGUUGUCCGGAUUUAUUGGGCGUAAAGAGCGUGUAGGCGGCCAUACAGGUCCGUUGUGAAAACUCGAGGCUCAACCUCGAGACGUCGAUGGAAACCGUAUGGCUAGAGUCCGGAAGAGGAGAGUGGAAUUCCUGGUGUAGCGGUGAAAUGCGCAGAUAUCAGGAAGAACACCCGUGGCGAAGGCGGCUCUCUGGACGGUACUGACGCUGAGGUGCGAAAGCGUGGGGAGCAAACAGG
rnacentral:rRNA from 1 species